UCUUGGUCUCGAGUUAGCCACUUUCGAGCCAUUUUCCAGCCAAACCACAGCAAAUUAGUCAUCAAGAAGGGCACCAUUCUCUUCCUCUUGUUGAGAAGUAUGAUUUUUUUUUUUUUGAAUCACUGAUUUCAUUGAGUAUUGAGGAAGUUAUGAAUGUUUAAAGUUUACCCAGUUUCCGGUGAGUUUUCCAAUUUUUCAUGGACCAGUCACAUUUCAGGCUAUUUUUAGGCCAUCUCCAACAACCAUUAGGCUUCCAAAUAGGUAUAAUAUUAUUCUACACUUUUCUAUCUUCAUUUUGAUAUAUUAUGGGUAGAAUUUUGUUAAGAAACGAUUGAGUUACGAAGCUCUGAAACUCGCCCAAAAUUCUGGCCAAGAGCUCUGGGACACUUAACGGAGUUUUUAACGGAAUGACCAAAAUAAUGGAUGAUGGACAAUCUCAGGAACUAAAGUGAUGUGUUAUGCAAAUCUCAUGGACCAUUUUGGCUAAAAAACCGUUUAAAUGGUGCCUUUGUGGGGCAUUUGUUAGGCAUUGAGGUGCACAAUCUGUAACGCCCCGUCCCGAAACAUUUAUUUGGGAAUAUAAUUUUCAUGAUAGGCCAAAUUAAACUCUUGUUUAUUUAACUACCAUUAAUCACAAUUCUUUAUUUAAAUUUAUUAAUCACUCACAAAAUCUAUAACCAAAAUUUAAUUACCAAAACAUAAGAUUUAAUUUUACAAUUUAUCACCAAAUUUCUUUUUUUAAUUCAAAUUCUCAACAAAUGAUAAAUCUCAAUUAUUUAAGGCUGCGUCUAACCCUGUUAGAUUGCCUACGUACCCCUGAGCAGGAUCAAGCUUUUCGUAGUUCACCAUUCAACCUCUUAUCCAUUUUCGAAAAUACCCUAAUAACGGAAAUAUUUAACAUUAGUUUUCAAAAUCGAAUCACGCCAAAUGGGUACAAAUUACAGAUUUAAAAUAUCAAAAUCUGAAUGAAAACACAUCGUCGGCCCACUGGCCACCCACCACUGCGAGUGGCGGUUUCCGGCGAACGGAAACCCCAAAUUCUGACCAACUCUAAAAAUUACCAAAUUUUACAGGCAAGUAGAGUUCAAUGAUAAGAAUGACCUUCAUACCUGGGCCAAAGCCCAAUUCGAGAAACACCUCAAAUCGCACUGGAACUGCCAGAAACCCUUGAAUUGGGUGUUCUUGAUUCGACUCCAAAACAACUCUAAUGCCCCCAACCAAUGCAUGUGCUUUGUUCCAGGCCUCAAGAAGAGUCCAAAGGUUGUGGUAAUUGAAAGAUUUAGCUUCAGGAUUUGAGGAAUCGCCACCACGAACCCGAUACACCCACUAUUGGUUUUUCACAAUUACAAGCCCAAAUUUCAUCAAAUUUGGGGUGGAAUGGGUAGAUGGGUGGUGUUGUGGAUGAGGUUGUAGGUGGUGGAUGGGUGAAUUAUGGCUGAAAAAUGGCAAAAAUUUUCCGAAAUCAAAUCAGGUCACCGUCGGGUACAUGGGUCGACGAGAUGGAAACCCGUUUCUCCCUCCUUUUCUUUUCUCUCUGUUCCCCUCCUUUCCCUCUUUCUGAUUGGUCCAUUCCUCUUCUUCCCCCUUGAUUCGCCCACCCCCUAUCCUUUUCUCUCCUUUCUUUCCCAUCACAACCACACACAUGGCACAUCCAUUGCUCCAGAAAAUUUGGAGCCUUCUAGAUGAGGCCAAAAUUACAAAAAAUGUCCCUAACUUUAAACGUUAAUAACUUCUUAGUUAUAACUCAAUUUCACAAACGAUUUUCGCCUACGCGCUCGCAAGGUUAUCCUCUAUUCAAAUAUAAUACAAUAAAAUUUAUGAGGAUAAAAUAUAUCCUCGUAUAAUUACGUUAACCAACUAGGGGCAUUUUCUCCAUUUCCCACUUAUCAAUAAAUUUUACGAUGUAAAUAAAAUAAAUCCCGGAAACAAAAUUCUAAAAUUUCUCUAAUCAAAUUUUCAUAACCAUAAAUCUAUUUAUUCUCGAUUUCCUCCACAUAUUCAUAUAUCUUAAAUUUUCAGCGGAUUACACAAUCAAAACUAAUAUAAGUUUGAGUGUGCCAUUGGUUUCUUUGUUUAACAGAUUGUUUAACUUGGUUGUUCAAUUAAAUGUUUACUUUAGCCACAAGUCACUUAGACUCCUUGGUUCGUAAGGAUUGUUACAGAUGGUUUAAAUUUGUACUAAGUUCUUUUCUUACCUUUAGAUCAAUGACUUUUAUUUAUAAUAUAAUAUGUUCGUUUAGAAAGGAUUUCAAGGUCACUCAAAUUAGUUCCUUAGUUAUCAGUUUGAGCUAACAGUGAGGAAACAAGAUUAAUCAUUUUGAUAAGAUUAAUCAUAAAUAAGACUUGAACAAAAGUCGUUGAAAAUGACAUAGGAUCUAGUUAAAGAUGCAUAAACAACAGAUAUGCUUUAUAUAAAGACAAAUAAAGGAGACUUGGGCAAGGUUCUCUUCUUGCAACCAUUUCUCCUUGUAUUUUACAGAGGGGGAAGUCUUGAAAAUGAGAUAUAAACAAGGUUUACUAAAGGGAUUCAAUUCUACAACAAAAGGAAAUGUAGCAGAGCUUCUAAAAACUGAAAAGGUGUAAGGGGUGAACAAACUUAAAGUUAUCUAGUUUUGCUGUUAAGUUCAAACUUGAGUAUGUUUGAGAGUUGAGAGAGUUUUUUACACGCAUCCCUUAUUGCUUUUUAACUCUCUAGGGAUAUGAUUGAGUGACAACCAUGUAAUAUCAUGCCAUUGUGAUAUGCCUACACUUGUAUUCCCUAUUCAAUUGAUUAAUCACUAACUCUGAAUCUCCAAAGAUCUCUAGUUUUCCUACCUUCAAUGUAUCAUGAUUUUUAAGCCAAUGAUCAGUGCCUCAUAUUCUGCCCUAUUGUUGGUAACAUUAUCAUAAUCCAAGAGGAAGGAAUAACAAUGAGGGACACCCUGAGAGUCAAUAAUAACCAUCACAUCACCUGCAACCCAUUGUGUGCAUGAUCCAUCAAAAUAUAGCUUCCAUGAGGUGAUCCAUAGGCUGAAUAUUCUUUUUAUCUCUUGUUAGACCCAAUCUUCCUUGCCCGAGUUACCUCCACUUGGUGGAAACCAAAUACUUACAACUUCCAAAGUACCAGGAAUAUUGAUCAACUCCUCUUUAGGUUCUUAGUGUUCUGUCAAAAAGUCUGCAAAUACUGGCAGUGAAAUACAAGGUCAAACAUAACUUCUCAACUGGAGUAUAUCUUGUUUCCACCUCAGUAAGGAUUCUACUUAUAUAGUAUACUACUUUUUCUUUUCCUCCUUCAUUAUUCUGAGCUAGCAAACUCCCAAGUUUUUCAGGCUUGGACAUCUUCUUAGUGUUGUCGGGCAAGAUCACUUGAGCCCUCACUAGCUCCUCAUAGAUGUCAGCAGCCUUAGUUAAGUCGAAAGGGUAUGAUUGAUACUUUGAGGGCUUGAUAAGAACAAGUCCUCCAUCAUUCAUCAUAAUCUUCUGAUCCUUGAUUAGUUAAACCAAACCCUUCACUGUUAAAAGUUUGAAAGGAGUAGUCAUCUCUGCAGCGCACAACUCUAUUCCUUCACCCAAGUUGUCAUCAUUUUCCCUUGUCUCCAAGCCUUCAAACUUUAACUAAUGUAUUGGUGCUUUAUUUCCAUAUAAAUGAGGUCUUUCUAAACCUCAUCAUAAAAUCAUCUGUAAACUCAUGUUUAUAUUACUUUACCUCUACUAAGUCAUUAAUAGUCAUCUCAGGCUCCACUCUAUAGAACUGCUUAUGAAAUGCCAUCUUUAUCUACCCCUAAUUGGUAAUAGAAUUAGGGGGUAACUAAGAGUAUCAUUGGGAAGCCAAUCCCACUAGAAAGUUCCCAAACAAUCUUAACUUGUAGUUAGGAUUAUCCUCAAAAGCCACACAGUAAUUCGAGAAUUUAAAAAUAUGGCCUCUAGAGGACACAUUACAAUCUUCCCCAUAUGCAGGUACGGCUUCUGGUAUGUGACCCUAAAUAUCGAAAGGGCUUGUGGUUGAGCAUUUUGCAUCACCAUUCUCUUUAACUCUGCCAGUUCAUUCUUGAGUUACUGAUUGGCCAUGUUGUUCUUCGGGGAAGAAGAAUUCCUCCAUUUCAUACCAUGGUCUAUUCCCGAGAAAACAUCUCUUGAUGUAUCAUGCUACCUUCAACUAGUUUCUCUUCCCCCUUAUUAACUAAUGGUGGUGGUCGAUAAGGUGAAGGUUUUCUUCCAUCAUCGGGCAAGCUUUUGGUACUAAUGCCCUCACUUGGGUUGGAUGCACAAAGUUUUAUUACAUCUUGCCCAUCUGGCUUCCUGACCUCUAAUGGUGGUGGUAAAAGGUCUAGCAAGCCUGACUCUUAUGGCUCUUCUCUAAUGUCUUCUUGGUGACUGGUUCCCGUCUGCUCAUUUUUCUUUCCUUUAUCCUCUUUCUUCCCAAGCAAGGGGAACUGGGGGGUAGUUGGUUCUUUCUCCAAAUCUAAAACUAUACCUCCUUCAUUAACAGCUUCAUCCUCUGGUGGAGAGUAUUCUAACUCCAAUUUUCUUUACAACGUCCCUGUCAAAAAGCAUAGCUUGCUAACUUCCCCCACGGUUUCUAGGGAGAUUUUUUCCAUACUUCUCAGCACUUGCAUUAUGGUCGCUUGCAAGUCUUCAUUAGUUACUUUUCCUCCAGACUUUUAGAAGAAGUCGGGCUCUUUAUGAUCCUGGGACUGAGUGGGGAGAGAAAAUAUCCUGGCUGAUCUGUCAUGUCUGCUUCUGUCGGGCAAAGAGGUUGCUCGAAUUCUACCUUUCACCUGAAUGUUCGAUCCUUCAUUUGUCUUAGCAUACAAUAUUACAAGAUAUCGUCCCACCGAGCGUGCCAAAAUUAUGUUCAAGCUAGAUUGUCCCUUGCAUAACUUCUCUUGUCUUGCCUGUCGAGCAAAGUUUAGUGCUUAGUUUUCUACAAUAUAUGUUUGUCAUUAGUUUGAAUGAUGCCUUUGUGUGACCUUUGUUAGGCUUUAAGGCUUACAAUCAAAACUAAUAUAAGUCUGAGCGUGCCCCUGUUUUCUUUGUUUAGCUUGGUUGUUCAAUAAAUGUUUACUUGCACCACAAGUCACUUAGACUCCUUGGUUCAUAAGGAUUGUUCAUAGAUAGGUUAAGUUUGUACUAAGUUCUUUUCUUGCCUUUAGAUCAAGGACUUUAUUUAUAAUAUCAUAUGUUCGUUUCAGAAGGAUUUCAGGGUCACUCAAAUUAGUUCCUUAGUUAUCAGUUUAAGCUAACAACGAGAAAACAAGAUUAAUCAUUUUGACAAGAUUAAUCAUAAAUAAAACUUGAACAGAAGUAGUUGAAAAUGACAUAGGAUCUUGUUAAAGAUGAAUAAACAACAGAUCUACUUUAUAUAAAGACAAAUAAAGGAGACUCGAGCAAGAUUACAACCUUGUCGGGCAAGGUUCAUCUUCUUGCAACCACUUCUCCUUGUAUUUUACAGAGCCAAAUGUCUUGGAAAAUGAGAUAUAAACAAGGUUUACUAAAGGGAUUCGAUACUACAACAAAGGGAAAGGUAGCAAAGCUUCUAAAAACUGACAAAAGAGAACUUUCUAUGGUGGACCUACAACUGAAAAAGGGUAAAGGAUGAACAAACUUAAAGCUAUCUGGUUUUGCUAUUAAGUUCAAAGUUGAGUAUGUUUGAGAGUUGAGAAAGUUGUUUACUUGCAUCCCUUGCUGCUUUUAUAGACUUCAUAGUCCGAGUGUCCAAGCUUUCUCUUUUGGUGAUGGCUUCUAGAGUAUGGUGAGUCAUCAUCUGCUUUGUUAAUUACCUACCCAUGCCAUGAAAAAGUGCUUUUUGCUAAGGGUAAGUUGCCCUUUGUCACCUGUCAUUUCUCACACAGGCUUGUUGCCUAUUGGUUGCUAGAAAUGAUUUUUAAAUUCAUCCUGGGCUGCCACCUUUCCCAGCCCAAUUCCUUUCUGAUUUUUGCACACAUGGGCCUUCAAUUGCAUUGAGCCCAAUAUUAAAUAUCCACCAAACACUCAGAUGUUAGACAAGAUGUGACAAGCAGACAAAAGAAAUCGUAUAAUAGUAGACCUGGCAUUCAUGUCAUGUUUUCCAUAUGUGUGUCGUUUUCGUGUCAUACCCGAUAUCUUAACGGGU
rnacentral:lncRNA from 1 species